rnacentral:rRNA from 1 species
UACGAAGGGUGCAAGCGUUAAUCGGAAUUACUGGGCGUAAAGGGUGCGUAGGCGGUUAGUUAAGUCUGUUGUGAAAUCCCCGGGCUCAACCUGGGAAUGGCAAUGGAUACUGGCAAGCUAGAGUGUGAUAGAGGAUGGUGGAAUUCCCGGUGUAGCGGUGAAAUGCGUAGAGAUCGGGAGGAACAUCAGUGGCGAAGGCGGCCAUCUGGAUCAACACUGACGCUGAGGCACGAAAGCGUGGGGAGCAAACAGG